rnacentral:rRNA from 1 species
UACAGAGGGGGCAAGCGUUGUUCGGAAUUACUGGGCGUAAAGGGCGCGUAGGCGGCCUUCUAAGUCGAACGUGAAAUCCCCGGGCUCAACCCGGGAACUGCGUCCGAUACUGGAAGGCUUGAAUCCGGGAGAGGGAUGCGGAAUUCCAGGUGUAGCGGUGAAAUGCGUAGAUAUCUGGAGGAACACCGGUGGCGAAGGCGGCAUCCUGGACCGGCAUUGACGCUGAGACGCGAAAGCGUGGGGAGCAAACAGG